AGUCGCGUGGUCUAAUGGUUAUGAUUUCUCGUUCACAUUGCAUGUGUUCAAAGUCCCGAGAAGGUUCCGUGUUCGAUCCACGGCGUGACUA